UUGGACCCACGCUUUGAAUCAGAGGGACGGUUGGGCUUGUCACGGAGGAGAUGCAUGGCUGGAUUUUCUCGUGUUUAAGGAAGGCUUUGGAUUCACUGCAGAAUAAGCUGGAGUGUAAAUUGAUGAGAAUACAGAAGGAGUGAUUGGUCUAAUUCUCAUAUUCAGGGUGACCUAACUCUGAAGACGAGCCGAUACAGUGGACACUUGAGGU
rnacentral:lncRNA from 1 species